CCUACGGGGGGCUGCAGUGGGGAAUAUUGGACAAUGGGGGCAACCCUGAUCCAGCCAUGCCGCGUGUGUGAAGAAGGCCCUCGGGUUGUAAAGCACUUUCAGUGAGGAAGAACGCCUGGUGGUUAAUACCCAUCAGGAAAGACAUCACUCACAGAAGAAGCACCGGCUAAAUCCGUGCCAGCAGCCGCGGUAAUACGGAGGGUGCGAGCGUUAAUCGGAAUUACUGGGCGUAAAGCGCGCGUAGGUGGCUUGAUAAGCCGGUUGUGAAAGCCCCGGGCUCAACCUGGGAACGGCAUCCGGAACUGUCAAGCUAGAGUGCAGGAGAGGAAGGUAGAAUUCCCGGUGUAGCGGUGAAAUGCGUAGAGAUCGGGAGGAAUACCAGUGGCGAAGGCGGCCUUCUGGACUGACACUGACACUGAGGUGCGAAAGCGUGGGUAGCAAACAGGAUUAGAUACCCUAGUAGUC
rnacentral:rRNA from 1 species